GAUCAUGGCACAAUGGAUCAGUGUGUCUUGCUGUUGACCAGAAGGUUGGUGGUUUGAGCCCACCCUGGGACG